rnacentral:rRNA from 2 species
CGAAAGGUGUAUCCGAUGGACAACAGGUUGAUAUUCCUGUACUAGAGUAUGUAGUGAUGGAGGGACGCAGUAGGCUAACUAAAGCAGACGAAUGGAAGUGUCUGUCUAAGCAGUGAGGUGUGAAUUGAGUCAAAUGCUUAAUUCUAUAACAUUGAGCUGUGAUGGGGAGCGAAGUUUAGUAGCGAAGUUAGUGACGUCACACUGCCAAGAAAAGCUUCUAGCGUUAAACAUACUCUACCCGUACCGCAAACCGACACAGGUAGUCGAGGCGAGUAGCCUCAGGUGAGCGAGAGAACUCUCGUUAAGGAACUCGGCAAAAUGACCCCGUAACUUCGGGAGAAGGGGUGCUGACUUUACGUCAGCCGCAGUGAAUAGGCCCAAGCAACUGUUUAUCAAAAACACAGCUCUCUGCUAAAUCGUAAGAUGAUGUAUAGGGGGUGACGCCUGCCCGGUGCUGGAAGGUUAAGAGGAGUGCUUAGAGGUAACUCGAAGGUAUGAAUUGAAGCCCCAGUAAACGGCGGCCGUAACUAUAACGGUCCUAAGGUAGCGAAAUUCCUUGUCGGGUAAGUUCCGACCCGCACGAAAGGCGUAAUGAUUUGGGCACUGUCUCAACGAGAGACUCGGUGAAAUUUUAGUACCUGUGAAGAUGCAGGUUACCCGCGACAGGACGGAAAGACCCCAUGGAGCUUUACUGCAGUUUGAUAUUGAGUGUCUGUACCACAUGUACAGGAUAGGUAGGAGUCUAAGAGAUCGGGACGCCAGUUUCGAAGGAGACGUU